AUAGAAUACAGACAGAGAUUCUGAAUGUGAGCAAUGCCAACCCCUGGGCUGGGGCCUCUGGCGGGAGCCAGCAUGACACAGGCAUUCCUGUCUCUGCUCCUCUCCUGCCAUCCAGUGACCUGCUCUGCUCUCCUGUGACACGAUAGAAUGGACCUUGAAAGCCAGGAACCUGUCAGAUACUUGUCACAGAGAUGGAAAAGUAACUGAUACAUGAUCACAAAGAUGUGAACCUUUCAAUAACGAUAGCUUUGAAAUAGCAAGCCUAAAUACAAAGCAAACUUUAAGUCGGGCCAUUUCAACUGCUUAACGACAGGGUCAGCACCAUCUUCUCAAAGCCUCUCCAGACCUUCAAGUCUCUGGCACGACUACAUCACAGUAAAGUCACAGAAUCCCCAUAAUGGCAUCAUAAUCAACACACAUCUACGUGGUUACGGAAUUCUGGGAUGAACUCUGUGAGAGAAUCAAAUGACCUGAGGAAAUAUACAGACAAAGUAUGAAGCAGAGACUGAAGGAAAGGCCAUCCAGGGACUGCCCCACCUGGGGAUCCAUCCCAUCUGCAGCCACCAAACCCAGUCACUACUGCUGAUGCCAAGAAGUGCUUGCUGACAGGAGCCUGGUAUGGAUGUCUCUUGAGUGGCUCUGCCAGAUUCUGACCAAUACAAAUGCAGAUGCUCACAACCAACUAUCGGACUGAGCACGGGGACCCUAAUGGAGGAGUUAGAGAAAGGACUGAAGGAGCUGAAGAGGUUUGCAACCCUUAGGAAGAGCCACAAUGUCAACUAAGCAGACCCCCCGCCCCAGAGCUCCCAGGGACUAAGCCACCAACCAAAGAGUACACAUGGAGGAACCCAGGGCUCCAGAGGCAUAUGUAGCAGAGGAUGGCAUUGUUGGCAUCAAUAGGAAGAAAAGCCCUUGGUUCUGUGAAGGCUGGUUUCCCCAGUGCAGGAGAUGCUAGGGUGGUAAGGUGGGAGUAUAUGGGUGGGAGGGAGUAGCGGGGGAGAGGGGCUAGGAGAGGGGGAAACUGGGAAAGGGGACAACAUUUGAAAUGUAAAUACAUAAAAUAUCUAAUUAAAACAAAGAGCUCACAAA